GGCGACGGGUGAGUAGCACGUGGGUAACCUACCCUUAGAUUUGGGAUAACUCCGCGAAAGCAGGGCUAAUACUGAAUGAUAUUCCGAUUCCCAAGGGAGUCGGAAUCAAAGGUGGCCUCUGCAUGCAAGCUAUCAUCAAAGGAUGGGCCCGCGUACCAUUAGCUAGUUGGUAGGGUAAUAGCCUACCAAGGCGACGAUGGUUAGCUGGUCUGAGAGGAUGGCCAGCCACACUGGAACUGAGACACGGUCCAGACUCCUACGGGAGGCAGCAGUGGGGAAUCUUGCGCAAUGGGGGAAACCUUGACGCAGCAACGCCGCGUGGGUGAUGAAGGCCUUCGGGUCGUAAAGCCCUGUCAGGUGGGAAGAAACGUAUCGGUGUUAAUACCGCCGAUAUUUGACGGUACCACCGGAGGAAGCACCGGCUAACUCCGUGCCAGCAGCCGCGGUAAUACGGAGGGUGCAAGCGUUGUUCGAAAUUACUGGGCGUAAAGCGCGUGUAAGGCGGUCGGCAAGUUAGAUGUGAAAGCCUUCCGCUUAACGGAAGGAAGUGCAUUUAAUACUACCCGGCUGGAGUACGGGAGAGGAGAGUGGAAUUCCCGGUGUAGAGGUGAAAUUCGUAGAUAUCGGGGGGGAACACCAGUGGCGAAGGACGGCUCUCUGGUCCCGAUACUGACGCUGAGACGCGAAAGCGUGGGAGCAAACAGGGAUUAGCAUACCCUGGUAGUCCACGCCGUAAACGAUGGGCACUAGGUAUAGGAGGUAUUGACCCAUUCUGUGCCGAAGUAAACGAAUUAAGUGCCCCGCCUGGGGAGUACGACCGCAAGGU
rnacentral:rRNA from 1 species